rnacentral:tRNA from 1 species
GGGGACGUAGCUUAGCUGGCUUAAAGCGCUGCCCUGUCACGGCAGAGAUCGAGGGUUCGAAUCCCUUCGUCCCCG